rnacentral:rRNA from 1 species
UACGGGGGGAGCAAGCGUUGUUCGGAUUUACUGGGCGUAAAGAGCUCGUAGGCGGUUUGUCGCGUCGGCCGUGAAAUCUCCACGCUUAACGUGGAGCGUGCGGUCGAUACGGGCAGACUUGAGUUCGGUAGGGGAGACUGGAAUUCCUGGUGUAGCGGUGAAAUGCGCAGAUAUCAGGAGGAACACCGGUGGCGAAGGCGGGUCUCUGGGCCGAUACUGACGCUGAGGAGCGAAAGCGUGGGAGCGAACAGG